rnacentral:rRNA from 1 species
UGGUGGUGCAUGGCCGUUCUUAGUUGGUGGAGUGAUUUGUCUGGUUAAUUCCGAUAACGAACGAGACCUUAACCUGCUAACUAGAUACUUUUAUUCUAUAAUUGUCAUCUUCUUAGAGGGACUAUGUAAUUAAAAUACAUGGAAGUUUGAGGCAAUAACAGGUCAGUGAUGCCCUUAUAUGUCCUGGGCUGCACGCGUGCUACACUGAUGCAUACAACAAGUGCCUAACCAGACAUGGUACGGCAAUCUCGAAUAUGCAUCGUGAUGGGGAUAGAUCUUUGCAAUA